UAUCCCCCAAACUAAGGGGGGAUGAGAACCACCGACCGGUGUUCGACAACUGGCGCAGCCAGUUGGACAGACGACGAGCUUGCGAGGAGACUGCCCGAAGGGCGAGCGCAGCGAGUCAAUCCCCCCCUCACCGCCA
rnacentral:sRNA from 17 species